UUGAGAGCAACAUUUUGAAUCUAUGCUCUUUUAAAGCAAUUUCCACUCUGACAACUAACAGUAUGGAUUUAAUUAUGAAGAAAACAACAGAUGCUAUCAAAAAGAAAAAGUAAGAAAAAAAAAUCGGAAAAACAGAGAGAAUUAUUACAAAUGUAAAAUUGCAGAAAGGAAAGUUGAGAAAUUAAUAGCUAAGGAGCUGCUAUUUAUAGAUUGUAAAAACAAUUGGCAGAUUCAAAUUCAAAUUUAGGCUUCAUAAAUUCGAGCCAAAACUGCUUCAAUGCGAUUACCCAACGGACAAACUCGAGCAAUAUCCAUUGGGCUAAAGAAUGUGACAUUCGGCGGGAAACUGCUCCCCAAAAAUCUAUGCUUUAAUAUUAGUAUAGAUAGAUAGAUAGAUAGCUGCUCUUGAUCCCUUAUUCCUCACAAACACCGAGCUUCUGCUCUCUUUUAGGUGAGGUUCGAAACACGUAUAAAAAAAUGGAGGAGUGCCAACUUUCUGUGACGCGAUUUAGUGGCACUCCGAAUGGCGGUCAAUAUUUAGAGGCUAUAAGGCUGAAUGGUGACCACGUGUAUGAUUUCUUUCUUGACAUGUUAUUUAUGGGCGAAUUAGAAUAUAAAAAUUACAUUCAGAUUAGUUAUUGUGAUGGGAUUUUCUGUUUGAAUGCUUUUAAUGGUCGGAUUGCUCUUUGCAACCCGAAGGCCAACACCGUGAAACUCCUUCCCCCGAUCCUUCCCGCUCCCCCUUCGUCUCAAAUCGAAGUUUAUAAUUGUGGUUUUGGCUAUGAUUUUACAUCUGAUGACUACAAGGUCAUUAGAAUCUAUAAUGUUGUUAAAUACGACAUUAAAGAUUUUAAUAGAUAUCUUGGUGCCACUGAAAAAUGUGAGUUAUUUUCGUUCAAAUCUAAUUAUUGGAAAGAAAUUGAGUACGAAGGAUGUUCGUUUAUUUGCGACCAUGGUGGUUAUGCCCAUGUGGGUUGUAGUUAUUAUUGGUUAGCUAUUGUAGUUAUCCCCUUACCAUUAUCUUUUAAAGAAAAAUCUUUUAAUGGAGAUACUCCAGUUUGUCACGUUGUCGUUACUCCAAACUCUCGUUUAGGUGUCAUUUUCUAUAGCAAAGUUGGAGUGUUCAAGACUUUUCUGCAUUUAUUCCAUAUUCUCAAACCUGAAAAGUCUUGGACACUCUAACUUUGCUAUAAAAAAUGACACCUAAACGAGAGUUUGGAGUUACGACAACGUGACAAACUGGAGUAUCUCCAUUAAAAUAUUUUUCUUUACAAGAUAAUGGUAAGGGGAUGUGAGAAAUUUUUUUUUCACUGAAAUUAAACGCUAGAAUGAAAUCAAUAGCUAACCAAUAAUAACUACAACCUACAUGGGCAUAACCAUCAUGGUCGCAAAUAAACGAACAUCCUUCAUACUCAAUUUCUUUCCAAGAUUUAGAUUUUCACGAAAAUAAUUCACAUUUUUCAGUGGCACCAAGAUAUCUAUUACAAUCUUUAAUGUCGUACUUAACAUCAUAGAUUCUAAUGACCUUGUAGUCAUCAGAUGUAAAAUCAUAGCCAAAAUCACGAUUAUAAACUUCGAUUUGAGACGAAGGGGGAGCGGGAAGGAUCGGGGGAAGGAGUUUCACGGUGUUGGCCCUCGGGUUGCAAAGAGCAAUCCGACCAUUAAAAGAAUUGAAACAGAAAAUCCCAUCACAAUAACUAGUCUGAAUGUAAUUUUCAUAUUCUAAUUCGCCCAUAAAUGACAUGUCAAGAAAGAAAUCAUAGACCUCGUCACCAUUCAGCCUAAUAACCUUUAAAUAUUGACCGCCAUUCCGAGUACCACUAAAUCGCGUCACAGAAAGUUGGCACUCCUCCAUUUUUUUAUACUUGUGCGGCAGCAAGGGGCGUGCCCGGUUUGCAAGUAUAGAGCCGGUUCGCAAUGGUCUGAGAUCGCUCAAGGAGAAGCUGAUGCUUCGGACAUGGUUUAAGUUUUAAACAUAUAUAUUUGUUUGCUUAAUUAUACAUACCUGUAUAUGUAUAUUGAUAUGUAUAUGUGCUUCAAUAGGAGUUCAGAAUUGACUAAAUAGCUAUAUAGAUGUAGUGGUGUAAACACUAUUGAAUACUACAUUGAAAUACAUAUAUAUUUCGAUUACUUGUCACAAAAUAUCGCCUUAUUUCAAGAUUGGUUUUCAUAGAGAUACAUUGGUUUUUCAUCAUUGUUGCAGAAAUUAUAAAAGAAGGGGCAGAGUUGCUGUGUAGUGCAGCUAGUUAAGCUUUAUGUU